rnacentral:rRNA from 1 species
UACGUAGGGGGCAAGCGUUUGUCCGGAUUUAUUGGGCGUAAAGAGCGUGUAGGCGGUUAGGUAGGUCCGUUGUGAAAACUCGAGGCUCAACCUCGAGACGCCGAUGGAAACCAUCUGACUAGAGUCCGGAAGAGGAGAGUGGAAUUCCUGGUGUAGCGGUGAAAUGCGCAGAUAUCAGGAAGAACACCCGUGGCUAAGGCGGCUCUCUAGUACGGUACUGACGCUGAGACGCGAAAGCGUGGGGAGCGAACAGG